rnacentral:pre_miRNA from 1 species
CCACUGAACUGUUCCGUCUUUUAGAAUGAAAGUUUCGCCAAUCGGCUUCCCUACGACAGAUCGGUGGGACUUUCGUUCGAUUAGAUGCAGCACAUGAAACAU